GGAGGUAUGGCUCAGUGGUAGAGCGCAUACUCAGCAUGCAUGAGGUCCUGGGUUCCAUCCCCAGUGCCUCCA
rnacentral:tRNA from 1 species